rnacentral:rRNA from 1 species
UGCGUAGGCGGUUUAUUAAGUCUAUGGUGAAAGUUUGCAGCUUAACUGUAAAAUUGCCAUUGAAACUGAUUUUCUUGAGUGUAAAUGAGGUAGGCGGAAUGUGUUGUGUAGCGGUGAAAUGCUUAGAUAUAACACAGAACACCAAUUGCGAAGGCAGCUUACUGGGAUACAACUGACGCUGAGGCACGAAAGCGUGGGGAUCAAACAGGAUUAGAUACCCUAGUA